AACGAACGCUGGCGGCAUGCCUAACACAUGCAAGUCGAACGAGACCUUCGGGCCUAGUGGCGCACGGGUGCGUGACGCGUGGGAACCUGCCCUUAGGUUCGGAAUAACUCCCCGAAAGGGGUGCUAAUACAGGAUAAGGUCUUCGGACCAAAGAUUUAUCGCCUUUGGAUGGGCCCGCGUUGGAUUAGCUAGUUGGUAGGGUAAAAGCCUACCAAGGCGACGAUCCAUAGCUGGUCGGAGAGGAUGAUCAUCCACACUGGGACUGAGACACGGCCCCGACUCCUACGGGAGGCAGCAGUGGGGAAUAUUGGACAAUGGGCGAAAGCCUGAUCCAGCCAUGCCGCGUGAGUGAUGCAGGCGUUAGGGUUGUAAAGCUCUUUUACCCGGGAUGAUAAUGACAGUACCGGGAGAAUAAGCUCCGGCUAACUCCGUG
rnacentral:rRNA from 1 species